AACGAACGCUGGCGGCAUGCCUAACACAUGCAAGUCGAACGAGACCUUCGGGUCUAGUGGCGCACGGGUGCGUAACGCGUGGGAACCUGCCCUUAGGUUCGGAAUAACUCCCCGAAAGGGGUGCUAAUACCGGAUAAUGUCUUCGGACCAAAGAUCUAUCGCCUUUGGAUGGGCCCGCGUUGGAUUAGCUAGUUGGUAGGGUAAAAGCCUACCAAGGCGACGUUCCAUAGCUGGUCUGAGAGGAUGAUCAGCCACACUGGGACUGAGACACGGCCCAGACUCCUACGGGAGGCAGCAGUGGGGAAUAUUGGACAAUGGGGGAAAGCCUGAUCCAGCAAUGCCGCGUGAGUGAUGAAGGCCUUAGGGUUGUAAAGCUCUUUUACCCGGGAUGAUAAUGACAGUACCGGGAGAAUAAGCUCCGGCUAACUCCGUG
rnacentral:rRNA from 1 species